rnacentral:rRNA from 1 species
UACGUAGGUGGCAAGCGUUGUCCGGAUUUACUGGGUGUAAAGGGCGUGUAGCCGGGUUGACAAGUCAGAUGUGAAAUCCUGCGGCUUAACCGCAGAACUGCAUUUGAAACUGUUGAUCUUGAGUACUGGAGAGGCAGACGGAAUUCCUAGUGUAGCGGUGAAAUGCGUAGAUAUUAGGAGGAACACCAGUGGCGAAGGCGGCCUGCUGGACAUUAACUGACGCUGAGGCGCGAAAGCGUGGGGAGCAAACAGG